rnacentral:rRNA from 1 species
UGGUGGGUUGCCUUGUCAGGUUGAUUCCGGUAACGAACGAGACCUCAGCCUGCUAAGUAGUCACGGCUGCUUUUGCCAGUCGGCGGACUUCUUAGAGGGACUUUUGGCGACUAGCCAAAGGAAGUGUGAGGCGAUAACA